UCAUCAAUUCACACUAUGUAAUGAAAUGUUUUGAUUUUGAUUUGGUUGUAAUCGUCACACUGGAGCUACACUAAUCAUUACUGUAAUGAAAUGCGUCUUAGUGUCAGAAUAAAAUUUAAAAUAAAAGAAAGAAAAAAGGUUGGAAAGCAAUCGUAAAUAGCAAAAAUCCAUAAUGUGAAAGAAAACGUUGGGUAUCGCAGUAACUGAUGAACGGAUGUUGAAAGGGCUUUUGUUCAAUUUUUUUUGUACGUAUUCUGUGCAAGAUUUUCAUGCCUUUCAAAAAAUUUGAUCUGUUUUAUGUUUGCUUAAGUAAUUUCAUAUAUUAUUUAGAGAAUUAUUUCUUAUUCUUUGAUUUAGAAUAACGAAUGUUUUUUAGAAAAAUAAAAGCAAUUUCACAGAGUAUAUUCCUCUGACCUUA